AAUCCUGGCUCAGGAUGAACGCUAGCUACAGGCUUAACACAUGCAAGUCGAGGGGCAUCAGUUUGGUUUGCUUGCAAACCAAAGCUGGCGACCGGCGCACGGGUGAGUAACACGUAUCCAACCUGCCUCAUACUCGGGGAUAGCCUUUCGAAAGAAAGAUUAAUAUCCGAUAGCAUAUAUUUCCCGCAUGGGUUUUAUAUUAAAGAAAUUCGGUAUGAGAUGGGGAUGCGGUUCCUACUUAGUUUGUUUGGGGGGGUUAACCGGGGG
rnacentral:rRNA from 1 species